CGAGGUUGAAGGAACACAACAUUUUAAUUUUCCCGUUUGGUGAAUCAAUCGUCAACUUUUAUCCUCUUGCAGAUGUCGACCUGCAGAUGACUUAUGUGUGCUUGUGAAGCAGAGGAAAGAGAAAGUGUUUUAACGAUUUGCAGAAUGAUUUCUCAUGUUAUUUUCUCACUUCUAUUCUGGAAUGGACCCUGAAUAAGGCUGUUAAUCAUGUGCGAACACUAAU